AGUGAACGCUGGCGGCGUGCCUAACACAUGCAAGUCGAACGAGAACGGAACUAGCUUGCUAGUUUGUCAGCUAAGUGGCGCACGGGUGAGUAAGAUAUAGUUAACCUGCCCUCUAGAAAGGAAUAACAGUUAGAAAUGACUGCUAAUGCCUUAUAUGCCUUUUUAACAUAAGUUAGUAAAGGGAAAUGCUUUAGUGCUAGAGGAUGGGACUGUAUAGUAUCAGUUAGUUGGUGGGGUAAUGGCCUACCAAGACGAUGACGCUUAACUGGUUUGAGAGGAUGAUCAGUCACACUGGAACUGAGACACGGUCCAGACUCCUACGGGAGGCAGCAGUGGGGAAUAUUGCACAAUGGACGAAAGUCUGAUGCAGCAACGCCGCGUGGAGGAUGACACAUUUCGGUGCGUAAACUCCUUUUAUAUAGGAAGAUAAUGACGGUACUAUAUGAAUAAGCACCGGCUAACUCCGUGCCAGCAGCCGCGGUAAUACGGAGGGUGCAAGCGUUACUCGGAAUCACUGGGCGUAAAGAGCAUGUAGGCGGAUUGAUAAGUUUGAAGUGAAAUCCUAUAGCUUAACUAUAGAACUGCUUUGAAAACUGUUAAUCUAGAAUAUGGGAGAGGUAGAUGGAAUUUCUGGUGUAGGGGUAAAAUCCGUAGAGAUCAGAAGGAAUACCGAUUGCGAAGGCGAUCUACUGGAACAUUAUUGACGCUCAGAUGCGAAAGCGUGGGGAGCAAACAGG
rnacentral:rRNA from 1 species